AUGUCCAUAUCACCUUAAAACACCAGUUCGCGUACGAUUACCGAAGUUAAGCAACGCUGAGCCUGGUUAGUAACUAGAUGAGUGACCAAUUGGGAAUACCUGGAUCUGUAA